GCCUGGGUGGCUCAGUCGGUUGAGCGUCCGACUUCAGCUCAGGUCACGAUCUCGCGGUCCGUGAGUUCGAGCCCCUCAUCGGGCU
rnacentral:tRNA from 1 species